UUGCUGUUCAUCAAUGUUUAUAUAAAAAAGAAGAUAUGGUAUGAUUACAAAUGAGACAACCCUCCAUAAGAGACCAAAUGACACAGACAUUAUCGACUAUAGGUCACCGUACGGCCUUCAACUGCUUUGUCUCUCGAGCAAUCAAGCCACAUCUUCUUUUUUAUAUUUGGGAUUUGUCAUUUUAUUCAUAAAAUAUACUACAUAUUUUGAUAUUCAUCAGUCAUGUCAGUACAGUCUUAAAGACACAGUUGUUCAUUUAAUGCGUAUAAUGCUCAUGUUAACAGUUAUUUUUACCAUGACUUAUACUUUUAAGGUUCUUAUUAUUAUCAUGACUAAAUUGUAUCCCCUUUCUUAUAUGUAUUUGUAUUUAUUAUCAUUAUGUUUCAACUGACAAUAAAAUUUUGAAAACAUGUAGAAAAUCGUUAUAUGUGCUCAUUAACUAUAUACUUAUUGUGAGUCGUUUUUUAGCACGACUUCUCGGUAAAAUAAAAGUUUUCUUAUCAUAAUUUUCUUAUGACAAUCAACUAUAUUAAAGUAAACAG
rnacentral:lncRNA from 1 species